rnacentral:rRNA from 1 species
UACGUAGGGUGCAAGCGUUAAUCGGAAUUACUGGGCGUAAAGCGUGCGCAGGCGGUUUUGUAAGUCUGUCGUGAAAGCCCCGGGCUCAACCUGGGAAUUGCGAUGGAGACUGCAAGGCUUGAAUCUGGCAGAGGGGGGUAGAAUUCCACGUGUAGCAGUGAAAUGCGUAGAGAUGUGGAGGAACACCGAUGGCGAAGGCAGCCCCCUGGGUCAACACUGACGCUCGUGCACGAAAGCGUGGGGAGCAAACAGG